UGCCUGAGUGUCAUCCUUUGUGGUACCUCUAGCCUUCAUGUUCAAGCAUUGGUUCCUACUUUAAAUUUCUCUGGCUAACUCCACUGCUGUUGUCUCUCCUUCAAAAGUUUUUUCCAUUCAGCUGCCUUGCCAGCUAUCUGAAACGCCUUCUGGAUUGAUGGAUUUAUUCCAUGCUGAUAAGAACAAACAUCUGGUUUUCCUCUGGCUCAUUCAAGAACAAACUCUGUCCAUCCUCUGAUAUAAGAUCACCUGUUUACACUCACUGAACCGAUACAGUCUCUGAAAGACCUCACCCUCCUAACGGGAUCCUACACCAUGAGUCGCUGCCUGAACCCUGGAACUUCCCUGGACCUGAUUAUUCGCUCUCCUGUCAGUUUCAAUAAAUCUUUAAAAACAG